rnacentral:rRNA from 1 species
UACGUAGGGUGCGAGCGUUGUCCGGAAUUAUUGGGCGUAAAGGGCUCGUAGGCGGUUGUCGCGUCGGGAGUGAAAACACCGGGCUUAACUCGGUGCUUGCUUUCGAUACGGGCAGACUAGAGGCAUGCAGGGAGAACGGAAUUCCUGGUGUAGCGGUGGAAAUGCGCAGAUAGUCAGGAGGAACACCGGUGGCGAAGGCGGUUCUCUGGGCAUGUCCUGACGCUGAGGAGCGAAAGUGUGGGAGCGAACAGG